UGAAGAGCCAGAAGAAGCCGGACCAG
rnacentral:piRNA from 1 species